UUUAAUUGAAGAGUUUGAUCAUGGCUCAGAUUGAACGCUGGCGGCAGGCUUAACACAUGCAAGUCGAGCGGUAACAUUUCUAGCUUGCUAGAAGAUGACGAGC
rnacentral:rRNA from 1 species